ACACAUGUCUCUCUCUCAGCACUAUGCGUUCCUUUCUCUCUCUCGACGAACUCUUUAUCCAUUUCUUCAUCUUUUUCCCGACGGAAAUCUAUCCAUCUUCGCCAACCGGAGAUCGAUCCUGUUCGACUGCAUCAAUCACCGAAUCGCUGGCUCCUCCGUGCUCCUCCCUCUCUUUUAAUUCUGCUUCUGCUUCCAAGUCUAAUUCUUUUGAUUCAGAUUGAUAAUAGUUUCCAGAUUCUCAUAUAGUUGGCGACCAGGAUGUUGAAGUACUGAUGCAUGCCAAGACGAGAGAAUUUGAUCAUUAUAAGGGAUGGAGCUUGUUAAAUGAUGAGACAUAACAAACGUGGUGGGAGGGUUAAGUUACAGCCUAUGGUGAUGCCAAAACCCGUCUCCGUUGCGUUUGGCAGGUGCUAGGGAUAAUCAUGCUCUAAUAGGGACUAACCAGCACAGUCUCAAGCCUAUAUCACUAGAUCUUGUAAAUUAUAUAUUUGUAACCUAAAAGGAAAACAUCAUAAGGACUUUCUUUGUUUUUCUCCUCAUCAAAUCUUUGUAAUCAACACAAUAAUAGCAAAAGUUUCUCUACAAAGCAUGACACAUCAGACUUUUAAAUUAUUACGGAGUUGACAUGUCAAUAAAUGAAAAAAGUUGUACUACCAAUCAAAACAUUUUAAUUUCACACAUCAGCUUAGUUGAUCUCAAGAAAUUAUCUCUUUCCAUUCUCAAAGUCGUAGAGACUCUUCUUCUCUGUUUCACAUUAGCUAAUCUCAAAAAAAUUGACCGACACUCUUCUUCUCUUCUUCACAUUAAUUUGUGAUUUAUAUGGCAACGCUUUAGCUUUUAGGUACUUGGAACGAAGCCGUGAAUAUGAUAAAGUAAAUUCUUCAUAACCAUGUUUUCUAAAUCUUUGUUUGCUGCUUUAUUUUUUAAUGGCCGUGUUAUCUAUUUAAAUAGAAAAUGAAUACAGUGUUUUAGGUCUUGCAAAAUAAGAACAUAACAAGAAAUAAACAACACUGAAAAGCUUUUCAUCAAACAAUUAGUACAUCGAAUGGAAAGUAGGUGAAAAGUAGGCUCUAUCCAGUCAAUUGCUUCUGUAGGACCAGGGCUGAAGCAGGUUCGAAGCUAAGCCAGGUUGUGUUUUACGUUAAGAAAACACUUUGUUCUCGAUAGUGGUGUUCAUGGUUCUGCUUCCCGUCUUUAUUUCUGAACCAAGAGUUUAAUAAAAUUCUCUUUCUACGGAAUCUUACAAGUAGAGCUGUAAACUGGGCGAGCCCAUGUCCAUUAGCCCAUAUCCAUUUGUCCAUUCAUUGUUUGUGGACAGCAAAGUGACCAUGUCCAUUAAGAACCAUGUCCAUUAAAGACCAUACCCACUAACACCCAUAUUUUUAUGGGCUGCCAUGGGGUCCAUAAUGACCAUAUAAGAAAAUUUUAAAUUUUAA